rnacentral:hammerhead_ribozyme from 1 species
UGCUGACGAGUCCCAAACAGGACUAAACAGCUGUCCA